CACGUAGGGGGCAAGCGUUGUCCGGAUUUAUUGGGCGUAAAGCGCACGUAGGCGGCGCAGCAAGUCAGGGGUGAAAUCCCGGGGCUCAACCCCGGAACUGCCCUUGAAACUGCAGUGCUAGAAUCCUGGAGAGGCGAGUGGAAUUCCGAGUGUAGAGGUGAAAUUCGUAGAUAUUCGGAAGACCACCAGUGGCGAAGGCGACUCGCUGGACAGGUAUUGACGCUGAGGUGCGAAAGCGUGGGGAGCAAACAGG
rnacentral:rRNA from 1 species